rnacentral:rRNA from 1 species
UACAGAGGGUGCGAGCGUUGUUCGGAAUUAUUGGGCGUAAAGGGCUCGUAGGCGGUCCAUCGCGUCGGGAGUGAAAAGCUGGGGCUUAACCCCAGUCCUGCUUCCGAUACGGGUGGACUAGAGGUAUGCAGGGGAGAACGGAAUUCCUGGUGUAGCGGUGAAAUGCGCAGAUAUCAGGAAGAGCACCCGUGGCGAAGGCGGUUCUCUGGGACGGUACUGACGCUGAGACGCGAAAGCGUGGGGAGCGAACAGG